rnacentral:ribozyme from 1 species
UUGUUAGUUUUUCUUUCUUUUCUUUUUUUUUUUUUACUUUUUUUUCGUUUUGGAAGAGUUGGGGAAUCACAUCUAAAGAGGAAAGGGUAGGAAGAUUGGAUUCCAUUAAGUUGAGUAUAGGAUAAUUGGUAUGAUUUGAU